rnacentral:lncRNA from 1 species
AGUGGAUGUGGCACUUUGUCGAAUUGUCAUGAGAAAGGCAAAAGGUCAGCUUGGCUAACAAUGGAAGGUUUUCCAGAUGUAAAGGAUGUUUUUUUUAGGCUUAAGUAUGAAGCGAGGCACGAUGUGAAUUGUUUGCCAGGAAGCAGCGGCAUUGUGAUGCAAUUCCGCCUACAAGAGGUUCUUUUCCAGAGCACAUCAAAAGAGAAGUA